rnacentral:tRNA from 1 species
GGAGCCGGAGUGAUCGUUACGCGCCGAUUUCACCCUGCUAAGGUGGAGUUCCCGUAAGGGAACCGAGGGUUCAAAUCCCUCCGUCUCCGCCA